rnacentral:lncRNA from 1 species
UCAUUUCAAUGUCCAGAUUCUUAACUCUUACAGAACUCGCUUUCAUAGUAAUAAAGGUAAUGUAAACCAAACUGGUGCUUGCCACAUGUGACUGUCUGAACUUCCCUACUUUCCCUCCCUCCCUCCCUCCCUCCCUCCCUCCCUCCCUCCCUCCCUCCUUCCUUCCUUCCUUCCUUCCUUCCUUCCUAUCUAUAUUUAGAAAUACCAGCAAAUUUUCUGCAGCAAUAUUAGAUUCAGAACACUGCAUUAAAAUUUUUAAAGGGUUAGGGGGAAAUAAAUCUGAAUCUAGUAAUAUACUUUGAAACAAAUUAAUGUUUUAUAACAAAAUAUAAAUCCUGACAAUUUCAGGCACACAGGAACUCAGAAAGUAUCCUGGCCAGAGAUCACUGUUGAAUGGAUUACUAACAAAUUUACUCUAGCAAAAAGGGCAGUGAACCAAGAUAAAACAGUGAGCUACAAGAUGUAAUAAUGCACAAAGAAAGGAAUGAAACAUUCUGUUAAGUUUAAAUAAAAUUAAUAUAUAUAUAUAUUUUUUUUUAAUUUGGGGAGUAAAGGAGCAAAAGCAAGCUUAGGCUAUGCUCUUGGUUGCAGGAUUGUAAAUAUGCUUGCUGAAAUUAUAGCUGCUAGAAAAAAUACACAAGUGUAAAUUAUUAAUAUACUCUCGAAACCUAGCACUUACUGCAUACUAGAAACUUUGUAAAACAAAGUUAAAGAAUUAAAUAUGUAAUUUAUGCAUUUUUAUUUAUUUAUUUAUUUAUUUAUUUAUUUAUUUUUAGGAAAUGCAAGAGUAUGGAUUGAAAUGAGGAAGUAUAAUAAUCUAGGGGGGGGAUUUGAGCUUUAUCUUUAUAGAUGCUUUUAAAUAAACAUGCUUUCCUAUAUUACUUGGGUAUUGUUUUUGGCUAUAAGAAAUUCCACUAAAAGUGUAUCUGUGUUAUUAUUUUGUUAUGGCAAAAUUCCUGAAAUGAGCUUAAGUGAAGAAAGGUUAAUUUUGGCUCAUGGUUUCAGAGUUUCAGUUCCUGUUUGUUUUCUAGAUGGUGACAGGAAUAAAGUCAUGGCAGAGGAAAGGUAUGAUUUCACUCAGAGCAUCCAUAAAGGGGAGAGGAGUUAAGGGAGGGAGGGAGGGAGGGAAGAGAAGAGAAAAGAGAAGAGAAGAGAAGAGAAGAGAAGAGAAGAGAAGAGAAGAGAAGAGAAGAGAAGAGAAGAGAAGAGAAGAGGCUCUAACAAGAAACAAUGGAAGUAACCUACCUUUAGCUAGGAACACCUUUCAGAGUUUGCCCCACCCCUCGACAGUGUAUUGAAUUGAGCUGUCCUGAUGCAAUCACUUCCCAAAAGGCUUGCCUUUGAAAACUGGUUCAGCAUUUAAUUAGGAACUAAGACUUCAGCACUUGAACCUUUUAGGGGAUACUGCAUAUCCAAACUAUACCAAAAGCAUCAAUAAUGAUGAAAUCUCCAGUAAUAAAUAAUGACUAAAUUAAGCAAACACAUGGCAUAGGGGUGGAGGUAAUCAAAAGAAAAAAAAAAAAAAGGAAAAUGUCAGAGAAUAUAGCCCUUGAUUGUUUUGCGGGGGGGCAGGGAAAAGGAAUCUUCUACAUGUUUACAAAACCAAAGACUUGGUAAACUACAGCUUAAAAAUUGGUGGUGAACAUUGAACAUACUAAACUGAAAUCUAAGAUUAACUUUGAGACACAAUAUGUGUUCCAACAAAGGGGGAAAAAGUACAGGGAAAGGGUCUAAACUCAAUUAUUAAAGUGAUAUUUGAGACAGAACGAUGUCUUAACAUAGUGUUUUGGGAAGGUGGAGGACAGUAAAUGGAGCUACUACCUAAUGUAACAAUGUCCACAGUUGCAUCCUUAAGGAAUAUUGAGGGAGAGGAUUGACAGUACUGGAAUAAAAGGGUUUGCUACAACAGAAAUACAAGUCUUUUUGAGUUCC